CCUCUAAGCCCGCCUCCCUUGGACCUCCGUACCUCCUCCUUGGCUCAACUGGGGGCCGCCUCGUACCUCUAGUCCCAGCUGCCCCGCUGGGAGUUAAGCAAUUCGCGGUCUCCCUCUAUCCCACCUGGGAGGACAGCACUUACAACGAUAAAGCCCUAAAUAUUCGAUGUCCAUUAAGGGCCGAAAGAGAAAAGAUCCUAUCUAAGGCGGAGAGAGGACACCUGCCCAUAAACACAACUGUACCAGGGAGAGAAUCACGAUCUUAGAGCUGGUAUUAGGCAGGACCUCGGAGGCUGUCUACCACAACCCACUCCUGAAAACAUCAGGCAAACAAGUAAAAAGGAAUAGAGUUCAAACAGAGGACAAAAGUACAGAAGGGAAGAUGAAUAAGAAACAUCAGAGUGGGGAGGGAGCUAAUUUGGAAAGAUUUUGGGGAGGAGAAUUUUAAGUUGGGCAAUUGGGAAAUAUCCUUCAUUGUUGUAUUCUUUCCUGCCAAGGGGAAAUAUUUAAGCGGCUCUCUACUGCCCAGAAUGUGACCAGGGAGGACUUCUUUAGGGGUCAAUGUGUCCAAGGAAACUUCAAGGAAAAAUUCACUGGAGCAAAAGGGGUAGAUAGAUCUGCUCUAGUCAGAAAACUGCAAAUGAAAAUGCUUCUUUCUUUUUCUUCAAUUUAUCCUCUGUCUUAAGGUCAAACUGGGAUGAGUUUGGCCACAAGAAGUCAAACCUUUGGGCAGGAGGCCCAAAGACUCAGCUCACUGAAGUUUCUUUUCUCUGGGGAAAGGACAAACUCUCCUUGACCAGCUCACACCCCUGGGAUAGAUAGCCUCAGUUUUGGUGGGGACCUCAGAGGACACCUAGUCCGGCUUCUUCAUUUUUCAGAGGAGGAAACUGAGUUCCCUGGACGAUAAACGGUUUGCCUAAAAGAAGUGAGAUAUGAAGUCCUUUAAAGAUGACCUCUAAUAAGAAAGUGAAACUAGUGACAAGAAAGAAAGUGAAAGGGAUAAGGAAGAACUUCUUUGUCCUUGUGCAGACUGUGGGUUCUACUCUCCUCUGACUUUGCUGAGAUAAGCAAAGAUCUGGGAAGGAUGUGAGUGAGACAUAGCCGGGACAGGAAAGCCCCUGGGCUGCCCUCUCUGGAAGGACCUGUAGAAAGGGCCAUUGCCCUGCCAUUGGUGAACAUGGGCUUCACGGUGCAUGAGGCUCUGAUAGACAGUAUUGCACGUCUGUGCUAAGGGUAGUAGACUCAGCCCUGCGUGAAGGGAGGGUGGUAGACGGGGUAUAGAAA
rnacentral:lncRNA from 1 species